GCUGGAAAGAGCAGAAGAGUUCCACUCCAUCUUCUCCGAAGAUGAUGCAUCUCCGAAGGGAGACGAUUCGACAACCAGGAGCUGGGGAAGGAGCCCCUUUUCUUUCUGCAGCAAAAGUUGUUUUGUGAAAUAUUGUCUGCAGGGUGACAGCACAGGAUCUCUGAGUGCCAUCCAAGAGUGAAAUACGACUGGAGAACCUGGGAAAUGUGGAUUCUACAGCCAUCCAUCCUGCCCCCUUGAGAUUGCAGAGGAACAGCUCAGUCUAACCACUGCAAGCCACUCAGUCCACCCAGCCACUUUCUUUGAUGCUCUGUCAGGUUAAUGCAGGCUGCAAAAGGCAGCACUGGUUUGAAUUAAUGGGAAUAAUAAAGGUUGGGGCAGGCUAUGUGCACUGGAAUUCU